GACGAAUGAUGGCGGGGUGCUUAACACAUGCAAGUCGAACGGAAAGGCCCUGCUUUUGUGGGGUGCUCGAGUGGCGAACGGGUGAGUAACACGUGAGUAACCUGCCCUUGACUUUGGGAUAACUUCAGGAAACUGGGGCUAAUACCGGAUAGGAGCUCCUGCUGCAUGGUGGGGGUUGGAAAGUUUCGGCGGUUGGGGAUGGACUCGCGGCUUAUCAGCUUGUUGGUGGGGUAGUGGCUUACCAAGGCUUUGACGGGUAGCCGGCCUGAGAGGGUGACCGGCCACAUUGGGACUACGAUACGGCCCAGACUCCUACGGGAGGCAGCAGUGGGGAAUAUUGCACAAUGGGCCGCAGCCUGAUGCAGCAACGCCGCGUGCGGGAUGACGGCCUUCGUGUUGUAAACCGCUUUCGCCUGUGACGAAGCGUGAUUGACGGUAAUGGGUAAAGAAGCACCGGCUAACUACGUG
rnacentral:rRNA from 1 species